rnacentral:rRNA from 1 species
GAUCGAACGGCGUGGCGGCGUGCUUAACACAUGCAAGUCGAACGAAGGCUGUUAGAAGGAGUCUUCGGAUGGAAUUUAACAGACUUAGUGGCGGACGGGUGAGUAACGCGUGGAUAACCUGCCUUAUACAGGGGGAUAACGGAGAGAAAUUUCCGCUAAGACCGCAUAAGACCACAGCACCGCAUGGUGCAGGGGUAAAUAUUAAUAGGUAUAAGAUGGAUCCGCGUCCGAUUAGCUUGUUGGUGAGGUAGAGGCUCACCAAGGCGACGAUCGGUAGCCGGCCUGAGAGGGUGAACGGCCACAUUGGGACUGAGACACGGCCCAA